GGGAAGUGGAAGUGUCCGGUAGGGGGUCUGCUGCUGCUGUGGGAAGAGAGCAAAGGAGGAAGGGGGGAGGAAGGAGAGUGUAGGGGGGGUGUCUGCUCUCUGCAGCGCCUGGGCCAAUGCAUGAGGGGUUUGGGGCUAAGUGUCUCAUCAGCAUCCAGCUCAGGUGCUGCCAGGGCCCACGCACUAACUAUGCCCUGACUUGAUUGUAAUUGCCUGAAUUCGACUCCCGCUGCUCCCUCCUGGCAAUAUCACAGGCACAUUUAACUCCCGAGAGCCUGGGGGCCGUGCAGCGGGGCCACAGAGAGCAGCUGACGGCUGACUGUUGGAGCCUGUGGGCUGCAGGGGGAUCCUCUCCUGUGCUGUCUGCUUUACAGGGGGAGGGUCACAGGUGCAUGCACCCCCUUCUCUGGAUGUUUGUGAACAUGAAACAAGCGUCAUAUGUACUCUGACAGUGAAGGCAUGAGCACGGCAGAGGUAUUUGCUGUUUUUAUGUCGCUCGCUGCUUGUCCUAGCGCUGUGCCUGUGCGAGCAAAGACUCAAGGAACUGUUGUUGACAUAUUAGGACAUGUUAGUACAUCACAGGGAAUGAAACAGGGUGUUUGUGUCUUGGGGGGAAAAAACUUCAAAUACACAACAAAAAAAUAUAGGUAGAAUACAGUCACUUAACCUUAAUUAUAAGCAAAAUAAGACUGGAACAUUAUCUGGAAAAGCAACCCUAAGUUAUUCAUGCAACUCCUGCUUUAGCUUCUUCGUUCUCUGGAUGUUUGUGAACAUGAAACAUGUUGUGCACUCUGACAGUAAAGGCAUGAGGACGGCAGAGGUAUUUGCUGUUUUAAUGUCGCUCCCUGCUUGUCCUGACUCAAGGAAGUGUUGUUGUCAUAUUAGGACAUGUUAGUACAUCACAGGAAAUGAAAUUGGGUGCUUCAAGUACUUCAAGAAAAAGAAAAAACUUCAAGUACACAACAAAAAAAUUGGGCACCUUUUUUCGGUUUGAUUCCUGACUCGUCUGGGCACAAUAGAAGGAUGCCAUAAUAGAGAGUAAAAAUGACUGAUAUGACAGGGAUGAUUAUAGGUGGAAUGCAGUCAAUUGACCUGAAUUAGAAGCCAAAUCAGGAUGCAACAUUAUCUGGAAAACCAACCCUAAGUUAUUCAUGCAACUUCUGCUUUAGCUUCUUUUGUGUUCCUGCAAGUUUCCAGAGCUUUUAGACCUCGAAUGAUUAAACUUGAUCUGUAAAAUCUCCACACAAUCUGUCCAAAAACCCUCUUUCCCCCCAUCAGCCUGUGUUUUUCAUGUUCAAUCCAAAGCCAGGAUAUGCGCUUGAUUGCCUCAUAUUGCCACCUACAGUACUUUCAUUUUAGACACAGUUGUGAGAGUCAUUAUCAUGCUGUAGUUAUGUUAAUGUUUUUUGUUUCUUUUUUUUUACUGGGUAGGGGGGUUGAAAAUUGCUCAAAUCUGCCGCUAAAAGAAGAACAAAACCCCUUCAGAAAAGCCAAGAAUAAUUGAAUUAAAAAAACAUGAGUCCACCAUCAACAACUUCUUCUGUGGAGUACAUUUUGUUUCUCUCCUUCAACAAUGCAUAUGAAUUUGGCUUCAAAUGUGUAGUUAUAGAACAUUCGCGCUGCCACAUCCCAGCCCUUUUGUUCGUGACAUUUGUAAGUGACAAGGCCAUGAAUGAAGUACUUCCCUCUCACGCUAACAAAAGCCCUUAUUCAAAAACAAGAUGCAAAAUUACCAGCAGAAAUACAUUUUCCACCAAUAAUACGUAAUUUUGGAGUUUUGGGAACUGCAGCAGGGUUAACUUAAAAAAGUUAGCCUGUGGCGCUCCUCAUCCUGUGAUAAUAGGGCUGUCUGUAAUGAAGAACAGGCUUGUUGCCAACAGGUGGUCUCUUUAAAAGGACCAGAGCCACAGCACUCAGGAUGGAGGGAAAAAAAACUGCCAUGGCAAAAUGUGUCAGAAUCUAAUGUUCUGCAGAGUGAAAAGCCUGUUUUCUGGCUUUUGUUCCCAGCUCGAGAUUUAGCCUUGUUCCUCAUUGUUCAGGGCACAAACGAGCAACAGUCUUUUUUGACACGGAGCCACAGAUGAAUAAAGACUGGAGCUGACUAGUCACAGGAAAGAGCUUUCUUUUUAGAGGGCCUGGAGCCCAUUAAGAGUUUGUGAGAUAUGAAUGGAUAUGAAUCCUCUCCUUCGACCCCACCGAAAAAAUACGAGCAGACCCCAAAGAAGACAAGGAACACCUCUGUGUCUUUUUUAGCGAGGUUCCCAAGGACGAUGGGAGAAAUCAGGCAGAGGGAGGAGUGAUUGACAGGAAGGAAUUACAUCAAGUCAAUGAGGAAGUGGCUCUUUGUUCGUUUGAAGGGUACAUUAUGCCCACCCAACCUUAGAGCACUAACCACUGACACUAAUGUUGACAUACUGACUUUAGUUUCUUUACUUUAAUGAGAAGAAACUAAUUACAGUGGUUACAGACU